CAGACCCCUACUGGACCGGAGGAGUUGGGACCAACACGGACUGCUCCUUGUGGAACAAUGACCAGGAUCAGCUGUGUUAUUCGUGCGGCUCUUGCAAAGCCGGUGUGCUAGCCAGCCUCCGGCACAGCUGGAGGAAGGUGUUAGUCAUAAACAUUGUCAUACUGAUCCUCCUGGUGAUUGCCUAUGUGAUCGCCUGUGCCGCGUUCAGGAACGACAAACGCAUCGACAACGACGAGCCCUACGGCGAAGCCCGGAUGACCAAGUCACAGCCUAGUAGGCUCCAGUUCUAGGCCUUUAUGUCAUUUUGAUAAAUGUAAUUGACUGGUUUGUUUGGUAUUGUUUAAUAGCUUUGAAGGGUUGGUUGUAAGUAAUGUGCCAGUGGCAAAUCCUCUUUUCCUUGAUUGCUCUUCAGGUUUUCUUUUGGGAAUUGAAGCGAGGACAUUGUCGAUGGGAAGGAGGUGUAGUGGCAGGAAAAUUGAAGUCGUAAGAUGGAUGUGUAGGAGUAUUGUCGAGACUUAUCACUGUGAUGAGUAUGAUUUAUGACAUAUGUAAUACAAUGAAGAUUAGAUUUCUGUGCA